rnacentral:rRNA from 1 species
UGGGGAAUCUUGGACAAUGGGGGCAACCCUGAUCCAGCCAUGCCGCGUGGGUGAUGAAGGCCUUAGGGUCGUAAAGCCCUUUCGCCGGGGAAGAUAAUGACGGUACCCGGUAAAGAAGCCCCGGCUAACUCCGUGCCAGCAGCCGCGGUAAUACGGAGGGGGCUAGCGUUGUUCGGAAUGACUGGGCGUAAAGCGCGCGUAGGCGGAUCAGAAAGUUGGGGGUGAAAUCCCGGGGCUCAACCUCGGAAUGGCCUUCAAGACUCCUGGUCUUGAGUUCGAGAGAGGUGAGUGGAAUUCCGAGUGUAGAGGUGAAAUUCGUAGGUAUUCGGAGGAACACCAGUGGCGAAGGCGGCUCACUGGCUCGACACUGACGCUGAGGUGCGAAAGCGUGGGGGAGCAAACAGGAUUAGAUACCCUAGUAGUCCACGCCGUAAAACGAUGAAUGCCAGACGUCGGGGGGCUUGCCCUUCGGUGUCACACCUAACGGAUCAAGGCAUUCCGCCUGGGGGAGUACGGUCGCAAGAUUAAAACUUAAAUGAAUUGACGGGGUCAUAGCUGUUUCCUG